UUGGAGAGAUGAGAGUAGAACCAGUCUAUUCAGGUUUUUAGGGCAACUCACAUAAUCCCAUCUGGACAGUGGUAGUUCUGUUUUAAACCACUUGUCCUUUUGUUGGUUUUAAUCAAUGGUUCUGUUUUUAUUUGAUCUAAAAUAUUCCAUUCCAUAUUCCAACAAUUUUCAUUCCUUAAACAGAUGGAAACAGAACUAUUUAUCUUUUUGAGUUGGGCAGUUCUGUUUAAGCCCGUUAUGAAAACUUUUUUAUUUGAAGUUCCAACCUCUUCCUUCUUCAGUUCAAGCUUUGUUCCAAGUGUUUAUGCAUGCUUUUCAAUCAAAAGUUGAUUGAAUUGAGUUACUUUUAUUUACUUCGCUUAUUAUUUGUACAGACACGUAGCUCACAGCCUCUCUUCUGGCCCCUGGAGAGAGCUUGGUGUGGAUGAUGUCCAGGGCCUAACAAAGCAAGAGUUCUCCAACAACUGCGACGUGUUUGUUUUGAUGUACACUCUGUACAUUGUAAUGGGGGCCAAGUGCGAUUUCAGCGAGGAAAACAUGCUGCAAAUUAGGAGAUGGUGGUGUCUCACUCUCCUGCAGAACUUCCCCAUGCCGUCUGAAGAAGACCGAUUGCAGGACAGGAAACGGCGACGAGUGGAAGGAGGGCUACAGACGCUGGGAAAUUGACAAAUUGCAAACCGGGAACAGGGUUGGAAGGAUGGUGAAAAUAAAAAAAAUCAAUGAUGCAAAG